AGCCCUAUGGAUUCAGUUCUGU
rnacentral:miRNA from 1 species